UACAGAGGGUGCGAGCGUUAAUCGGAGUUACUGGGCGUAAAGCGCGGGCAGGCGGCCCGUUCAGUCUGAGGUGAAAGCGCCCGGCUCAACCGGGCGAGGCCCUUGGAAACUGACGGGCUGGAGGGCAGUAGAGGCAGGCGGAAUUCCGGGUGGAGUGGUGAAAUGCGUAGAGAUCCGGAGGAACACCAGAGGCGAAGGCGGCCUGCUGGGCUGCACCUGACGCUGAGCCGCGAAAGCUAGGGGAGCGAACAGG
rnacentral:rRNA from 1 species